CCUCUUCCUCUCGGUCCCAUAUUGAACUCGAGUUGGAAGAGGCGAGUCCGGUCUCAAA
rnacentral:miRNA from 1 species